UCGAGCGGAAACGACACUAACAAUCCUUCGGGUGCGUUAAUGGGCGUCGAGCGGCGGACGGGUGAGUAAUGCCUAGGAAAUUGCCUUGAUGUGGGGGAUAACCAUUGGAAACGAUGGCUAAUACCGCAUAAUGCCUACGGGCCAAAGAGGGGGACCUUCGGGCCUCUCGCGUCAAGAUAUGCCUAGGUGGGAUUAGCUAGUUGGUGAGGUAAUGGCUCACCAAGGCGACGAUCCCUAGCUGGUCUGAGAGGAUGAUCAGCCACACUGGAACUGAGACACGGUCCAGACUCCUACGGGAGGCAGCAGUGGGGAAUAUUGCACAAUGGGCGAAAGCCUGAUGCAGCCAUGCCGCGUGUAUGAAGAAGGCCUUCGGGUUGUAAAGUACUUUCAGUUGUGAGGAAGGGGGUAGCGUUAAUAGCGCUAUCUCUUGACGUUAGCAACAGAAGAAGCACCGGCUAACUCCGUGCCAGCAGCCGCGGUAAUACGGAGGGUGCGAGCGUUAAUCGGAAUUACUGGGCGUAAAGCGCAUGCAGGUGGUUCAUUAAGUCAGAUGUGAAAGCCCGGGGCUCAACCUCGGAACUGCAUUUGAAACUGGUGAACUAGAGUACUGUAGAGGGGGGUAGAA
rnacentral:rRNA from 1 species